AGGAUCUCUGGCACCUGGGGGUUUGGAGCCAGCCUGGAAGGCAGAAAUGAGAAGGCCCACUUCUUAAGAAAGGAGGGAGGAGUACAGAGGAAUGGACUAUAAGAAACAGGGUUUGCUGAUCGGCACACAAAUGGAGACGGUCUGAAAACAAGGCAGCAGUAAUACCAAAGGCAAGACGGUUGGGCUGCUGUUCCUCUGUACUCUUGUCUGCGGAGGAAACUGAGGCUUAGAGAAAAUCCGCACCGAGGUAUCUCAAUGAGCGAAUUGCUGCGUUUUAUAAAAAUCCGCAAGUACACCGGAUUCCCAGCUGGCCCAGACUGCCACCUUGGCUUCAGAGCUGACACCAUCAAACUCUGGGACAUCCGAGGAAGCACAGACCCUUAGAAAAUACUAAAGGCUUCUGUUCCACAUGACUGGAGCGAAAUAAAAAUACGCCCUGAGGAUCAAAUGUUGACAGCUGAUUCCUAAAUUGAAAGUAACCACUGAGUGAAUAACACACGUGUGCAGGCAUGCACGUGUAGAGGCCAUUGCUAAUGUUCCUGCCUGCUGGAUACUUUACUAGUUCAUUUUUAGACAGUCUCAUACUGCUCUGAAGCUCACCAAGGACGUGGGCGCUUGGGAUCUGAUCUCAGGUCUUUGCGCUCAAGCAGCAAGCGGUUUAUGAACCACCCGAGUCCUCCACAGCUCCCAGUGAAACCUAGUUUAACAUUCAUCUCCUUCAGUGUAUAUUAUUGCAUUCAUUUAGUAUGAAUGUAAUAAUAAAGACUAUGCUAGAACCACUGGUUGUGUGAUAUGACUCCUGAAAGCCAACAGGAUCACAUGGCAUAGGGCCAUGAAUGUGAACUUACAGAAUCCGGACAUUUCUGUGUGAACAAAAUCAUUUAGCAGCACUCUGGGCAAGGGACAGGCACUAUUUUAGUGAUAAGUUGGCAUGAGUGGGUGGCGUGAGUUGGGCACUGAGGGUAAUCAGGCUACCAUGAGAGAACAGAGAGGUGGAGCCCUGAUUAAGGCUGCAGGGAAG